GACGAACGCUGGCGGCGGGCUUAACACAUGCAAGUCGAACGGAAAGGCACUGCUUUUGUGGGGUUCUCGAGUGGCGAACGGGUGAGUAACAGGUGAGUAACCUGCCCUUGACUUUGGGAGAACUUCAGGAAACUGGGGCUAAGACCGGAUAGGAGCUCCUCCUGGAGGGUGGGGGGGGGAAAUUUUAGGCGGGUGGGGAUGGACGCGCGGCUUAUCAGCUUGUUGGUUGGGUAGUGGCUUACCAAGGAUUUGACGGGUAGCCGGCCUGAGAGGGUGAACGGCGACCUUGCGACUGAGAUACGGCGCAGACUGCAACGGGAGGCAGCAGUGGCGAACAUUGCACAGUGGGAGGAAGCCUGAUGAAGCAACGCUGCGUGCGUGAUGACGGCCUUCUGGUUGUAAAACGCAUUCGCCUGAGACGCCGCGUGAGUGACGGUAAUGAGUAAAGAAGCACCGGCUAACUACGUG
rnacentral:rRNA from 1 species